rnacentral:rRNA from 1 species
ACUGCAUCGAUACUGUUAUUCUGAGUACAGCUGACGUAGCCGAAUGUGUAUGUAGCGGUGAAAUGCUUAGAUAUUACACAGAACACCGAUUGCGAAGGCAGCCUUACUAAGCUGGUACUGACGCUGAUGCACGAAGCGUGGGGAGCAAACAGGAUUAGAUACCUGGUAGUCACGCCGUAAACGAUGAUCACUCGUUGUUGGCCGAUACACCGUCAGCGACUGAGCGAAAGCAAUAAGUGAUCCACCUGGGGGAGUACGGUCGCAAGACUGAAACUCAAAGGAAUUGACGGGGGCCCGCACAAGCGGAGGAACAUGUGGUUUAAUUCGAUGAUACGCGAGGAACCUUACCCGGGCUCGAACGGUGCAGGAAUAUGGUAGAGAUAUCAUAGCUAGCAAUAGUCUGUAUCGAGGUGCUGCAUGGUUGUCGUCAGCUCGUGCCGUGAGGUGUCGGCUUAAGUGCCAUAACGAGCGCAACCCUUGUCAUUAGUUACCAUCAGGUCAAGCUGGGGACUCUAAUGAGACUGCCACCGUAAGGUGAGAGGAAGGGGGGGAUGACGUCAAAUCAGCACGGCCCUUAUGUCCGGGGCGACACACGUGUUACAAUGGGGGGUACAGAGGGCAGCCAUCCGGCGACGGAGCGCCAAUCUCAAAACCCCUUCUCAGUUCGGAUUGGAGUCUGCAACCCGA